AGGCCAACCGCCGAACACCACAGCCGUUAACAGCUUGCUUAAAUCCAACCUACACACAGCUCCACAUGCAUGCCGCUGAUGAGAGGAAACCCCUACCAACUGCCCAAUUGCCUUGUGGUGUCUUAAUAAGCUGCAGUAUAAUUUAAUUAAAGACAAUUAGAUACUGAAGUGCGAUCUUAAAUCAGACACGAGUUGAAUGAGGUUAAGCGCAAACUAAAAGCUGGGAAGAAGGAUUAACCUAUUUAGCAUAAGAAGUCCAUCAGAAUUCAUAAGAAUAAACCAGUGGCUGCAACCAGCAACAGCUAAAUGAGGUAAUGAGGUGACAGUUAUUGACCACUAAUGACUGAAUAUUAGCGUAAGAUUAUUUCAUCAUCACUGCUAUGCCACUUGCAUGAUAAUACAACUGAAAUGCAAUGUUUCAGCCCUUGGAGUCUGUUGAGAAAAUACAAAGCCCAGAAGCACCGUUUUCCUCUUGAGAGGCAUAGAGCUGUCUCCUGGCUUUCACUUGAAGAACAAUUGGAGUGCUUAUGCUUGGAAGGAAAGAGGACUGCACUGAUAGAAGCUCAUAUCCAAAAUCUGAGGAAUUUCAUUCAUCUUCUCAUCACUAAUUAUAAGGAUCAGAAAAAUACAUUUCUCCAUCAUGGCUUGAUCUAGAGAAUAUCUGGACUUCACAAAUAAGGCAGCAAUACCAGUAUGUUGUAACUAAAGUAUUCCUACGUCAAAUGCGUGUUACCAGCAGUGCUUUUUCCAUCUCACAGGAUAUUUUUGUUUAAAAAAAUAAUUUUCAGCACAGAAGUGAUUUCCUUUUUUACACCUCUCUAAAAUCCUAUUUUGCUUCUCAGUCAGCUCUGGAGAAUCAUUUUGAAAUUAAACUUACACAUCUGCA
rnacentral:lncRNA from 1 species